rnacentral:rRNA from 1 species
GACAGGCCUAACACAUGCAAGUCGAGGGGCAGCGCGGAGUAGCAAUACUUUGGCGGCGACCGGCGCACGGGUGAGUAACACGUAUGCAACCAACCCAUAACAGGGGGAUAACCCGGAGAAAUCCGGACUAAUACCGCAUAAGACCACGAUAUCGCAUGAUAUAGAGGUCAAAUAUUUAUAGGUUAUGGACGGGCAUGCGUCUGAUUAGCUGGUUGGCGGGGUAACGGCCCACCAAGGCAUCGAUCAGUAGGGGUUCUGAGAGGAAGGUCCCCCACAUUGGAACUGGGACACGGCCCAGACUCCUACGGGAGGCAGCAGUGAGGAAUAUUGGACAAUGGAUGGAAAUCUGAUCCAGCCAUGCCGCGUGCAGGAAGACGGCCCUAUGGGUUGUAAACUGCUUUUAUACGGGAGCAAUAAGGUCUACGUGUAGACUGAUGAGAGUACCGUAUGAAUAAGCAUCGGCUAACUCCGUGCCAGCAGCCGCGGUAAUACGGAGGAUGCGAGCGUUAUCCGGAUUUAUUGGGUUUAAAGGGUGCGUAGGCGGCCUUGUAAGUCAGCGGUGAAAUUUUGCAGCUUAACUGUAAAAGUGCCGUUGAUACUGUGAGGCUAGGAUUUGGUUGCUGUGGGUGGAAUGUGUGGUGUAGCGGUGAAAUGCUUAGAGAUCACACAGAAUAUCGAUUGCGAAGGCAGCUCACAAAGCCAAGAUUGACGCUGAGGCACGAAAGUGUGGGGAUCAAACAGGAUUAGAUACCCUGGUAGUCCACACUGUAAACGAUGAUAACUCGCUGUCGGCGAUAUACAGUCGGUGGCCAAGCGAAAGCGAUAAGUUAUCUACCUGGGGAGUACGACCGCAAGGUUGAAACUCAAAGGAAUUGACGGGGGCCCGCACAAGCGGAGGAACAUGUGGUUUAAUUCGAUGAUACGCGAGGAACCUUACCCGGGCUCGAACGGUGCAGGAAUAUGGUAGAGAUAUCAUAGCUAGCAAUAGUCUGUAUCGAGGUGCUGCAUGGUUGUCGUCAGCUCGUGCCGUGAGGUGUCGGCUUAAGUGCCAUAACGAGCGCAACCCUUGUCAUUAGUUGCCAUCAGGUCAAGCUGGGGACUUUAAUGAGACUGCCACCGUAAGGUGUGAGGAAGGGGGGGAUGACGUCAAAUCAGCACGGCCCUUAUGUCCGGGGCGACACACGUGUUACAAUGGGAGGUACAGAGGGCAGCUAUCCGGUGACGGAAUGCUAAUCUCCAAAACCUUUCUCAGUUCGGAUUGGAGUCUGCAACUCGACUCCAUGAAGGUGGAUUCGCUAGUAAUCGCGCAUCAGCCAUGGCGCGGUGAAUACGUUCCCGGGCCUUGUACACACCGCCCGUCAAG